GAAUGCAGCGAUCAUGUAAAUUAGAGAAAGGAGACAAAAAUAACUUCUGAAAUAUUCUUCUCAUGUGAUAUUUAUUCUGGAUGAAGCACUAAGAUCGCUCAUAGAGGUGUAUCACUGUAAUUUGCUGCCAGAAGUGUUUUCUUCCAAAAGGCUUUCCUGUGGAGAAUGUGUUUGCCACACCUCUCAGCAGAACCACCAUAAUUGAAUGAACAGAUCAUCUCGCACACCCAGAAUUCUGAGUUUGCACCUCGUUUUGAUGACUGUUGAAUGACACCGUGCCAUAGUCCGUGACCGUUUGUAGUAAGCAAGGAAAUGCUAUUAGAACACCCAUGUUCAUUUCUUGCUUGAGAGACCUAUAUGGUUACUUCUCUAUGUAGCAUUCUUAACAAGCACACACUGUUUUCUUUAUAUAUCGCUAUCUGCUAGGUGAGGACAUAGAAACUGCUUCGACUUUCAGCCAGUUUUGUGGUUUCAGGCAAGCCCUCUAGCAAGAUGGGGC